rnacentral:lncRNA from 1 species
UUUUGAUGCCCUUUGAUGCCCCACGUAAAACACAUAAGAGCCCCGACCCUCCCCCCCAUCUUACCUCCAUUCCCGGCUGGACGUCAUCCCCAUCGUCCGAGGCCUGCUGCACGUGCAGCACGUAGAUGGGAACAUGAGAAUUAGGGCAGGCACGUCAAUUCGGGCAGGCACGUCAAUUAGGGCAGGCACGUCAAUGACGGAGGCGAAACAUACACACACACCUCCCCCAACCAGCCCCAGCCACCCUCCAUAGCAUCAGGAACAAGAAAGAGGGCAAGGGGGAACGAAUCCACAAAGAAAAACGACCCUGGCACAGCUGUGCCCCACAACUACCUGCCUGCAUCAAACAAAUCUGCCGUACUCCGAUAGCCAUAUCGGAGUACGACAGCGUUUUGAUGCCCCACGUAAAACACAUAAGAGCCCUGACCCUCCCCCCCAUCUUACCUCCAUUCCCGGCUGGACGUCGGCCCCAUCGUCCGAGGCCUGCUGCACGUGCAGCACGUGGAUGGGAACAUGAGAAUUAGGGCAGGCACGUCAAUUCGGGCAGGCACGUCAAUUAGGGCAGGCAUGUCAAUUAGGGCAGGCACGUCAAUGACGGAGGCGAAACAUACACACACCCCUCCCCCAACCAGCCCCAGCCACCCUCCAUAGCAUCAGGAACAAGAAAGAGGGCAAGGGGUAACGAAUCCACAAAGAAAAACGACCCUGGCACAGCUG